rnacentral:rRNA from 1 species
GAUGAACGCUGGCGGCGUGCCUAAUACAUGCAAGUCGAGCGAACUUUUGGGAGCUUGCUCCCAAAAGUUAGCGGCGGACGGGUGAGUAACACGUGGGUAACCUGCCUGUAAGACUGGGAUAACUUCGGGAAACCGGAGCUAAUACCGGAUAACAUUGAAGCCCACAUGGCCUUCAAUUAAAAGGUGGCUUUUAGCUACCACUUACAGAUGGACCCGCGGCGCAUUAGCUAGUUGGUGAGGUAACGGCUCACCAAGGCGACGAUGCGUAGCCGACCUGAGAGGGUGAUCGGCCACACUGGGACUGGGACACGGCCCAGACUCCUACGGGAGGCAGCAGUAGGGAAUCUUCCGAAAUGGACGAAAGUCUGACGGAGCAACGCCGCGUGAGCGAAGAAGGCCUUCGGGUCGUAAAGCUCUGUUGUUAGGGAAGAACAAGUAUCGUUCGAAUAGGGCGGUACCUUGACGGUACCUAACCAGAAAGCCACGGCUAACUACGUG